CCUACGGGUGGCAGCAGUGGGGAAUAUUGGACAAUGGGCGAAAGCCUGAUCCAGCCAUGCCGCGUGUGUGAAGAAGGCCUUCGGGUUGUAAAGCACUUUCAGUGGGGAAGAAAGCCUUGGGGCUAAUACCCUCGAGGAAGGACAUCACCCACAGAAGAAGCACCGGCUAACUCCGUGCCAGCAGCCGCGGUAAUACGGAGGGUGCGAGCGUUAAUCAGAAUUACUGGGCGUAAAGCGCGCGUAGGCGGUCUGAUAAGCCGGUUGUGAAAGCCCGGGGCUCAACCUGGGAACGGCAUCCGGAACUGUCAGGCUAGAGUGCAGGAGAGGAAGGUAGAAUUCCCGGUGUAGCGGUGAAAUGCGUAGAGAUCGGGAGGAAUACCAGUGGCGAAGGCGGCCUUCUGGACUGACACUGACGCUGAGGUGCGAAAGCGUGGGUAGCAAACAGGAUUAGAUACCCUAGUAGUC
rnacentral:rRNA from 1 species